GCGUCAGGCAGCAGGCCGUGGUCAUCACUUCCCGGUGCGGCGCUGGACUGUGAAGUCCGACCGCCGACGGGCUGGCCCGGCACUAGCGCGCUCCUGCGCCGGCCUGGCCACUCUCGGUCUCCGGCCCUGAAGGGAGCAGCGCCCCCAGUCCGCGGCUCCGGUGGAAGAGCUGGUUGCUGACUCCAAUAAAGCUCGGAGCCUUUAGUGAGCGAUUCCGAGUGCCCUGCACUGAACCGGCGCGGUAGGGAUGGCCGGGUGCUAGUCUGUGCUCGGCCUCGCGCCGAACUGGUGUAUGCCCGGGAUCCCUGUUGCAGAAGUCCCUUUAUCUUCUUCAUCUCCCAAGAAAAUUUCUCAAACUUUGUUUCCGAGACAUUGAGACGCCAUCCCUCAACCCUGUCUCAAGACCCCAGACCAUUAUUUGGGAACCAGAUGCAUGUUCAAAAGGUUCUUUUUCCCAUAUACAGAAGAUCCUAAAAAGUACUGAGAAGUAAGAGUCAGAGAAGAGAAAAAAAAUGCAGCAAGAGGUGGUGGAGGUGUUGGAAAUAAAUGCAAAAUCUAAGGAAUGUAAUCCUGUAGAAGCAGGGCUCUACAUAUUUAAAGCACGGAAACUGGAUUCUGGAAUUCUUUACAGUGGGGGCAUUCUCCCUAAGAAACUGCCAGAGAAGCCAGCCACCCACCGUGCCUACUGGCUUUGAUUUUGAAACGGAGAAAAGAAUCAAACAGCGAGAAGCAGAGUGUAUUGGAGGAUAAACACUUUAAAUUUAUGUGAAGCCUUGCCCUUUUCGCAUCUUGUUAGGUGUUGUGGGUGUUCCUGAGAAGAAAGAAAUUCCACUCACUGUCCCCAGGACUCCUGCCUUUGCUUGGAAGAAGAGAACCCCAAAACCCACUCAAGAAGAUGAGGAUGAGGAGCAGUCAGUAGUGAUAAGAGCUCAAUAACUGUCCCUUGAUGGAAUACCUCUGAAGCCCAAAAUCCCGGUGAGGAGAACUAUGGAAAUGCACCCUUUCUCUUUUGAUUCAAAAAAGUCACUUACAGAAAGAGAAGAAAAUAAAACAGCUGCAGAAAGGGGAGGUGCCCAAGUUCUAGGUGCUUCCUUUGCCUCAUUUUACCCCCAUUAACCUGCAGGAAAAGAUGAAGCACACAAAUCAAGUGGAGCCUUCUGCUUGGAGCCUGGCAGAAGAGGUGCCUGAAGGCACAGACUUGGGUUCUCUCCGUGCCCCGGUGACAAAGAAGUCUCCUCCUGGUGUGAUGGAAAGAGCAGCCCUGGUUCCCAGACGGUGUGUGCAGCCGAGUCUAGCGGUGGAGUCGACUAGAACUUGAGUGGUACCCACUUAGUCACUUAUAGUAAUUUGUGUUGCUUCCAUCCUCCUCCUCUUUUUUAAUAUGUCAGAAUAGAUAGUUGAUUUAGUUUGUAAUUUAUUCACUUAAAGUAUGAUUUUUAC